rnacentral:rRNA from 1 species
UGGGGAAUAUUGGACAAUGGGCGAAAGCCUGAUCCAGCCAUGCCGCGUGAGUGACGAAGGCCUUAGGGUUGUAAAACUCUUUCGUCGGGGACGAUAAUGACGGUACCCGAAGAAGAAGCUCCGGCUAACUUCGUGCCAGCAGCCGCGGUAAUACGAAGGGAGCUAGCGUUGUUCGGAAUCACUGGGCGUAAAGCGCACGUAGGCGGUGACUCAAGUCAGAGGUGAAAGCCUGGAGCUCAACUCCAGAACUGCCUUUGAAACUAGGUCGCUAGAAUCACGGAGAGGUGAGUGGAAUUCCGAGUGUAGAGGUGAAAUUCGUAGAUAUUCGGAAGAACACCAGUGGCGAAGGCGACCACCUGGACUGAUACUGACACUGAGGUGCGAAAGCGUGGGGAGCAAACAGGAUUAGAUACCCAGGUAGUCCCUGAGCGGGCUGGCAAGGCGCAU